GACCCUAAUCCGGGUGCGCGCGGCACCCGAGGCCAGCGGAAAUCCCUUGGAGGUAUGGGGCUUCGAGCCCCCAUACGCGCCGACUGCAUCCUACUACGGGCACCUCUGUCUCCCUCGGCGGGGAACAUGCCGUGAACCGAAUAAGCUCUUUUGCAUCUAGCAUCCUAUCUCUGAUUCGAAAUAACAAAUAGUCA
rnacentral:misc_RNA from 1 species